rnacentral:rRNA from 1 species
CUACGUGCCAGCAGCCGCGGUAAUACGGAAGGUCCGGGCGUUAUCCGGAUUUAUUGGGUUUAAAGGGAGCGUAGGCCGCGCCUUAAGCGUGUUGUGAAAUCCGGGUGCUCAACAUCCGGCUUGCAGCGCGAACUGGGGCGCUUGAGUGCGCUGAAAGUAGGCGGAAUUCGUGGUGUAGCGGUGAAAUGCUUAGAUAUCACGAGGAACUCCGAUUGCGAAGGCAGCCUACUGUAGCGCUACUGACGCUGAUGCUCGAAAGCGUGGGUAUCGAACAGGAUUAGAUACCCUGGUAGUCCACGCGGUAAACGAUGGAUGCUCGUUGUCGGCCCUUGGGGUCGGUGACCAAGCGAAAGCGUUAAGCAUCCCACCUGGGGAGUACGCCGGCAACGGUGAAACUCAAAGGAAUUGACGGGGGCCCGCACAAGCGGAGGAACAUGUGGUUUAAUUCGAUGAUACGCGAGGAACCUUACCCGGGCUUGA